UACGAAGGGGGCUAGCGUUGCUCGGAAUCACUGGGCGUAAAGCGCGCGUAGGCGGACUCUUAAGUCGGUGGUGAAAUCCUGGAGCUCAACUCCAGAACUGCCUUCGAUACUGAGAGUCUCGAGUCCGAGAGAGGUGAGUGGAACUGCGAGUGUAGAGGUGAAAUUCGUAGAUAUUCGCAAGAACACCAGUGGCGAAGGCGGCUCACUGGCUCGGUACUGACGCUGAGGUGCGAAAGCGUGGGGAGCAAACAGG
rnacentral:rRNA from 1 species